AGGAGAUACACCUGUUCCCAUGUCGAACACAGAAGUUAAGUCCUAUUACGCCGGAAGUAGUUGGGGGUUGCCCCCUGCGAGAUAGGGUAAAUGCCAAGU
rnacentral:rRNA from 1 species